UUCCAGACUCCUACGGGAGGCAGCAGUGAGGAAUAUUGGUCAAUGGGCGCGAGCCUGAACCAGCCAAGUCGCGUGAGGGAUGACGGCCCUACGGGUUGUAAACCUCUUUUGUCGGGGAGCAAAUUCCGCCACGUGUGGCGGAGUCGAGAGUACCCGAAGAAAAAGCAUCGGCUAACUCCGUGCCAGCAGCCGCGGUAAUACGUAGGGGGCAAGCGUUAUCCGGAAUUACUGGGUGUAAAGGGUGAGUAGGCGGCAUGGUAAGCCAGAUGUGAAAGCCUUGGGCUUAACCCGAGGAUUGCAUUUGGAACUAUCAAGCUAGAGUACAGGAGAGGAAAGCGGAAUUCCUAGUGUAGCGGUGAAAUGCGUAGAUAUUAGGAGGAACACCAGUGGCGAAGGCGGUCUGCUGGACAGCAACUGACGCUGAGGCGCGAAAGCGUGGGGAGCAAACAGGAUUAGAUACCCGAGUA
rnacentral:rRNA from 1 species